rnacentral:lncRNA from 1 species
GGCGUUUUCCGUCGAUAUUGACGUAUAUUUUUAUUCACCAAUGAAAAUUGGAAUAAAAAUACAUUUUCAUGCUCGUACACUUUGUUAUUCAUUUGAAAUUAUGUUUUUACCUUUAAAAAAUACAUUGACUCAUUCUUAUUCAUAUUCUUAUUAAGGAGGUGUACCUUUCUAUUUUUGUAUAUAUCUCAAUUUACGUCAUUUCAUUCAUGAAAGGUCUGGACAACACGAUGAUGUAACUGGUCUAUUUCAAAAUAGACCGGGUCACAUGACAAUUACGAUAGUAUUGACUAUAAACCGUACCGUACAGGUAAUAAAUAUUCUCAGUUGUAGAUUUACCUGCGGUGUAGUCGAGAGUGAAUUAAACUUCAUUAAUUUAAUAUAUACCUAACAGGAGGAUUUUCAAACUUUUUUUUAAGUGACAGUUUAUUAAACCUGCAAUAAUGACUUUGGGAUGUGGUGCGUCAGUUGCCAAAGUUAUACUGGUUAUAGUUAACACUAUUUUCCUGGUAAGUUACUUUAAUUUGUUCUAUCUUU